rnacentral:rRNA from 1 species
UACGUAGGGUCCGAGCGUUGUCCGGAAUUACUGGGCGUAAAGAGCUCGUAGGCGGUCUGUCGCGUCGGCUGUGAAAACCCGGAGCUCAACUCCGGGCCUGCAGUCGAUACGGGCAAACUGGAGUGUUGCAGGGGAGAACGGAAUUCCUGGUGUAGCGGUGAAAUGCGCAGAUAUCAGGAGGAACACCGGUGGCGAAGGCGGUUCUCUGGGCAUUACCUGACGCUGAGGAGCGAAAGUGUGGGGAGCGAACAGG